CUCGCCUGCCAGUGACAACUUACAUAGAAUCGCAGGAAAUGCGCCGCACAUACACGAUCCUGACGUCGACAAUUUACACUUGUCCGAGCUAUUGACAAGAGAAAUUUUUGCGUCUCGCGACGUUUUCACGCCGAGAAAAAUUCCGUACUCUAUAACUGAAGGCCGGACAAGGAAAAAAAAAAAAAAAAAAUAUUGAACUUAAAUUCAAUGUUAAAUAACGAACGCGCAAAAAUUUUUCUCGAAAGACAAGUUAUUUCCAUCCACUUUGCAUCCUCCUCUCGAAAAUCUCGCGAUAUUUCGAAAACGUUAACAGGGAUUAAGAUUCGGUAACAGUGAAUCAAAAAGAUUCAUGGCAAUGGUGUACGCGUUUCUCAAGGCGAAUACAAGUUGUUAGGGGGUUGGUUCGAAGGUUUCGCGGGAGUUAUUCUAUUUCGAGACGAGGCAAGUUUUGAUCGUGCACCGGGCAAUUACACGUAGAAACGCGCGGGAACGUAUAUAUGUAUUCGCCACGCAUACGACCACGCUAAUUACAUCGAUUCGUACACCCCCGGCUACUGCGAAUCCAACGAGUAAUUUAUAACUUAGGAAGAGGUCGUAAAGGGAAUCGUUACUAAUGAUAUCGUAAUACCGAUACCAGGCGUCGUGUGUUUAACCUGCGUGCUCCACCGUUUGAAAUAUGAACGAACGAUCCCCACAUUUCAGAUAAAACAGCUCGUGCUCGGGGAAUGGAACUUCUGUGAUUAAAAUUAUUUGAAAUUCUAUUCCGUUCCAAUAGAAUUCGUAUCUAGAUUUUGGAAUGAUUAGAAUGAUUAGAAAUUGGAGGAAAGAAACGACACGGCAUGUAUGCGUGUAUUAUUUUAUUAUCGAAGGAGGAGAGGACGUUUUUUCGCUUUCGUGGAGGCACGCUUUAUUUAGAGGCACUUCUGUUUUAAACGCGCGAUUAAUGGAAUCGCGUCGAGGAUUUUUUUCGAUGAAAAGUAGACACCGAAAAGGUUUUCACUGUUGCGGGACAAGUUUUACCGCAGGGUUCCGUGCGAAACCACGAGAACAGAAUUACGAGAUGGAUAGGAAGACGCGAAAAUCGAUUAAUGGAUGAACUGUCAAUGCGGUUUCACGACAAGUAAUCGAUAUGGCUCUUUUAUUAAAUCGACGCUAACGGUAAAGGAAUUCAUUGAACGUUAAAUUUCAGUCGUUUGGAUCACAACUACAUCAGCGUUACGUAAUUUCCCGUUAAAUAUUCCCUCGGAGGACAAUUUAAAUUUUAUAUAUAUAUUUUAUAGAAUAAUGGAUAUUGCUUCUAUCUCCUGGCAUGUUAAGAUGAAAUGAUAACGAAAAAAAUUUUUUUAUAAAGAUUUAUUUUCUUACAUUAUUUUAUACAUAUUUUUACAUAUUUUUUUAUUCAUUUAAUUUUAUUUAACAUAAACUUUAUUCAUAAUAUAAAUAUAUUACGUUGUAAGGUCCCUCAGUGACUCCAUUUUGAUGUUUUAUCACUGGAAAAAAUAUAAUUGAUUAAAUAAAAUAUAAUUAGUAUUAUUUCUCUUGAUAUAAAUUAAUAAAUAAUUGCAAAUGUGAUACGAUAAUUAUGAUUAUCAUGGUCGAACAGCAGCCAUUAAAAAUUAAAUGAACACAUGUGCUGAGUGGGGAGCACGUGACUUUGACAGUUUCGGCGGGAAGUCAGUAGCACGUGCGACAGCGUGAAUAGUGGAUGUGUCUAUAACCUCAAUUCUUGCGCUCCGCAAAUAAACACUUAAAAUGUUGAAAGAGUAUCUAUUGAAAAAUCACCAAAUAGAAUUGAAGGAAGUUUUGGAUAAUAUUGAUAUCAAUUGUUAUUAUUCGAUUUAUGUUAAUUUUGUAUCAUUGUUCGAGGAUGAUGCCGACGUUGCACAAAAAAUUUUGCAAUAUCCUAGAUAUUACUUACCAUUGUGCGACGAAGCAGCGAUAAAAGCUCAGGAAGAAAUAGCAAAACCGAAACAAAUUGUUAAAAAGAAGGUACGUAUUAGAAUUACUGCUGUGCCAGUUACAUUAGAUCAAGGGCAAAUUGGACAGCUUGUUUCAACGAGUGGCAUUAUCGUUAGGAUCUCCCAACCAAAAGUGUUAAAAUCUGUUCAAAGAUAUUAUUGUAGAAAGUGCAAACAUAUUACUUUGGCUAAAUAUGAAUGGGAGAGACAAACUUUUGCAGAUAUUACAGAUUGUGAAGAAUGUCAUGCUACAAAACUUAAAGUUUUAACUGAUUUUGAUUUGGAAGAUUCUUCAGAUUGUCAGGAAAUAGGAGUACAAGAAAAGUGUAAAAUAGAUACAAACAAAUCCUUGACUGAGGAACUUAGGAUUAUUCUAUUGGAUGAUUUAGUUGAUAAAUGUAGACCAGGAGAUCAUGUUGAGAUUAGUGGUGUUGUGAUAAGAAUUUGGGGUCCCUUAGAAGUUGGUGAACGUUUAGAAGCGACAACCAUGAUGUUAGGUAAUAGCAUUACAGUACGGCGUAAAAUAUCCGACACAUCUUCUUCUCAAGAAAUGAGAGAUGUUUUUAGAAAUUAUUGGGAAAAAUAUAGUGAUAAUCCUUUACUUGGUAGAGACAAUAUUCUUGCAUCUCUUUGCCCAAAGCUUUAUGGAAUGUACACUGCAAAAUUAGCACUGGCUGUCGUUUUAGCCGGUGGCGUACCAAAAUGUAACGAAAGCGGAACACGUGUGCGUGGAGAACCUCAUCUUCUUUUGGUCGGCGAUCCUGGAACUGGUAAAUCCCAAUUGCUUCGUGCAGCAUCUCGUUUGGCUAUAAGAUCGGUUCUUACGACCGGUGUGGGAUCGACUGCAGCUGGACUCACUGCAACCGCUGUUAGAGAUUCAGAAGGAUGGCAUCUAGAAGCUGGGGCCCUUGUAUUAGCAGAUGGAGGCGUCUGUUGCGUGGAUGAGUUCACAACCAUGAGCUCACAGGAUAGAACAUCCGUUCACGAAGCUAUGGAACAACAAACAAUAUCAAUCGCCAAAGCUGGAUUAGUUAGCACGUUAAACUCAAGGUGUUCAGUGGUUGCAGCUAUUAAUCCAUCCGGUGGCCAAUUCACCGAUGAUGAAGAAUGGGAAACGAAUUUAGGGGAUCCUCUUUUAUCUCGUUUCGAUUUAAUCCUGCUUUUGAAGGACAAUAGGAAUUCAGAAUGGGAUAGGCUGACUUCGGAACAUAUUUUAAAGGCUGCUUACGAGACUAAAGAGAACAAUGCUCAGACAGACUCGAAAAAUCAUAUGGAACUUUUAAAAAACGAAAGUUUAUGGAAAGAGGAUACUUUGCGAGAAUAUUUAGCAUAUGUACAUUCCCUGCAACCAAAAUUAACGAAGGAAGCGGAAAUGAUACUUCGAGCGACAUAUCUUUAUCACAGGUGUCAUCCAAAUAGGAGAGAAGAGAGAACAACAGUUCGACUUUUGGACAGCCUUAUUCGAUUAGCCGAAGGACACGCUAGAUUGAUGUACAGAUCGGAUAUAGAAAUCAUGGAUGUUAUAUUCGUGGCAAAAUUAGUUGGAACUGGAUCUACAUCCGAGAUUAAUCUUGGUUGUUCAUUUCCAAUAGAUCCAAUUGCAACAUAUAAAUCUGAAGUUCUUAUCUAGAGGAUCUCAGACGAUCUCAGGAUCUCGCGGGUUUCAUUCCAUAGAUCACCUCAUCUAUUCCAGUAAGAAUAUUCGGCAUUGCGAAGGGGAUAUAACCAUUAACGAAACUUCUUAUCUCGAAGACGACUCAGGAUUUCGCGGGUUUCAUUCCAUAGAUCACCCCAUCUAUUCCAGUAAG